AAGUCGAGGGGCAGCAGGACGAUAGCUUGCUAUGUUGCUAGGCGACCGGCGCACGGGUGAGUAACGCGUAUCCAACCUUCCCCUUAGUAGGGCAUAGCCCGGUGAAAAUCGGAUUAAUACCCUAUGUUGUGUCAUGAGGACAUCUGAAUAACACUAAAGAUUUAUCGCUAAGGGAUGGGGAUGCGUCCGAUUAGGUAGUCGGCGGGGUAACGGCCCACCGAGCCCUCGAUCGGUAGGGGUUCUGAGAGGAAGGUCCCCCACACUGGUACUGAGACACGGACCAGACUCCUACGGGAGGCAGCAGUGAGGAAUAUUGGUCAAUGGGCGCGAGCCUGAACCAGCCAAGUAAGCGUGCAGGAUGACGGCCCUAUGGGUUGUAAACUGCUUUUUAUACGGGGAUAAAGUGAGGGACGUGUCCCUUAUUGUAGGUACCGUAUGAAUAAGGACCGGCUAAUUCCGUGCCAGCCGCCGC
rnacentral:rRNA from 1 species